UGUCACUCUCUACCCACCGAAUUUCAGAGCUAAGCACUGUGGUGAGUUAAUUAGAAAAGAAAGCUAUUUGGAAAAGGGUUCGUAAGUAGCUGCAAAACAUAUUUUCAAUUACUUCCAAAUAGAACAUUUUCCCCCACAGUUUGCAAGAGGCGUUCAUUAUUUCUUUGGUAAAAAGAAACCCUUCAAAACUCGUUAAAGGAAAGAGGAGUAAAGUCAGUAGUAGUCUUUUCUCUCUCCAGCCUUGUGGCAUGGUGAUUUAGACAGGUGUGGAGCUGUGCUGAAAUAUAGUUUGCCUCUGAAAUUAUUUCCUCAGCAAAGGACAGAGCCUCAGGAGGGGGCUGGCAUUUAAAGCUGUUCCCAGAGAUGCAGGGAAAUCCCACAUCCAGCCCUCUCAACAAUACCUCAGAAAGGACCCUUUGCGUAUAAAGGAAGCAUUGAUGACUUAAAUUUCAUUUUCUUGAUUUAACAGGCAUUUUCAAUCAUGAAACAUACAUGCGAACCUUCUAAUUGGAUUGCCAAGGUGAAAGAAAACUAAAGAAAUACCAGUGCAGAAAGGAAGUUCUUUAUUUUCAGGUUGCUCAAGCUAAAACAAUAAGCAGCAUUUCAUGGAUGACUGGCAUGUCGCCUUUUACUCCUCAAGGCAGACUCAAGAGUUUUCCCAGAAACAGAGGACGAGGCAAGUUAGUGUGAUACCUGAAGGCAGAGGGCGACCCUUUGACGUCUCAGGGCCAUAUAUCAGUUCCCUAACAGUGAAGCCCACAACAAGUAAUACUAGUUUGUAAUUUCUGAUAAUGACACAUGGAUUUCUGCCUAAUAUUAAUGAUCCAGUAAUUAAAAAUUUUCCUAAAAUUUUAUGAAAUGAAUCCAAACUUAUAGGUAGGAUGACUACGUAAAUAAUAGCAAAGCAGUGACCAAAAAUGCUGAGAGAAAAAAAGCAUGGGGAACAAAACCUAACAAAGAAUAUUUGUUUAUUAUCAGAGAUAAAUAAUAUAAAAUCAAAUUAAUUUACUUGUUUUUGAAAUUCAUUUUUGAAAAAGAACAAAAAUUACACACACAAAAAAGAAGCAGUAGAAUUAACACCUCAUUUUU
rnacentral:lncRNA from 1 species